rnacentral:misc_RNA from 1 species
ACAUCAACAGUAGGAAUCGGUAUAGAAGUACCCCUGUGAUGAUUGCAGCAGCGAAGGGACAAAGAGCAGUGUUUGACUUUCUUGUUAGCAAAGGAGCUGAUCUAUCAUUAGUGGAUGAUGACGGAGACAACAUCCUCCAUAUGGCCUGUAUUGGAGGACAUGUUGACAUGGUGAAGUAUGUCCUCUCACAGAAGGUUGCAGACAUCAACAGUAGGGGUCAGUACGGGAGGACACCCGUGAUGCUGGCGGCAAAUAUGGGACACAGGCAGGGAAGUGUUUGACUAACGUGUUAGAGAAGGAGCUGAUGUAUGACUAGUGGAUGAUGACAGACACAACAUCCUUCAGUAGGGAUCAGUACGGGAGCACACUCGUAAUGGUGGCA